rnacentral:rRNA from 1 species
AUUGAACGCUGGCGGCAGGCCUAACACAUGCAAGUCGAGCGAGCGGCGGACGGGUGAGUAAUGUAUGGGGACUGCCCGAUAGAGGGGGAUAACUCCUGGAAACGGUAGCUAAUACCGCAUACUAUCGGAUAACCCAUAUGGGAUUAGCUAGUAGGUGAGGUAAUGGCUCACCUAGGCGACGAUCCCUAGCUGGUCUGAGCGGAUGAUCAGCCACGCUGGAACUGGGAUACGGCCCAGACUCCUACGGAGGCAGCGGUGCGGAAUAUUGCACAAUGGGCGCAAGCCUGAUGCAUCCAUGCGGCGUGUAGGAAGAAGGCCCUAGGGUUGUAGAGUACUUUCAGGCGGGAGGCGUUACCGACAGAAGAAGCACCGGCUAACUCCGUGCCAGCAGCCGCGGUAAUUC